rnacentral:rRNA from 1 species
UUUUUUUUAUUAAAGUAUUUUGGGGAUGCCUUGACUAUAUAUCAUGAAUGGGCGUUAAAUUAUGCGAAAAGUUGUAUCUGAGACAAACUGUGAGAGAGGUACAAAUACCCAUCGUGGAAAACCACAUUAAGAUUCACACAAAGGGAAUUGAAACAUCUUAGUACCUUUAGGAAAAGAAAUCAACCGAGAUUCCGUGAGUAUUGGCGAAAGAAAACGGAGCAGGCCGUAUAUAUACGUUUGUGCAAAACAUGUCUGGGAAGCAUGACCAAAGAAGGUAAAAGUCCUGUAUGAUAAAAACGUAUAUAUCAAAAAAGUAAAACAUUUUAAUUUGUUUGAAGAUAGGAGAACCACCUUCUAAGCCUGAAUAUGAUAUAUAGAUCGAUAGUGUACAAGUACUGUGAAGGAAAGGUGAAAAGAACCCUUUAUAACAGGGAGUGAAAAGAUCUGAAACAAAAUACUGACAAGCAAUUGGAGCUUAGCUUUUAUUUUUAAAUAAAACAUAGUGACAGUGUACCUUUUGCAUAAUGGGUCAGCGACUAAAUGAAACAAGUAUGCGUAAGCAGUGAUGUGGACGCAGAGCAAAAGCAAGUCGACAAUGGCAUGAUAUUUGGUUCAUUUGACCCGAAACUAAGUGAUCUUAUCUUGAACAGGUUGAAGAAAGCGUAAUGUCUUUUGGAGGACCGAACCGACGUCUGUAGCAAUAGACGCGGAUGAUUUGAGAUAAGGGGUGAAAGGCCAAUCAAACUUAGAAAUAGCUGGUUCUUCGCGAAAUAUAUUGAGGUAUAGCGUACAUAGAAUUUCUGUUACUGGGGGUAGAGCACUCAUUGAGCUAUGGGGGUCCAAAACCUUACUGCUCUCAAGGAAACUCCGAAUACCAUAUAACAUGAUGUGUGUGCAGUCAGACAUAUAGUGCUAAGGUUAUAUGUCGAAAGGGAAACAGCCCAGCCCAGCCGCUAAGGUCCCUAAGCUUUCUGUGAGUGGGAAAAGGAGUGAAACAACGUUGACAACUAGGAGGUUGGCUUGGAAGCAGCCAUUCUAUCAUGAAAGCGUAAUAGCUCACUAGUCGAGUUGUUUUGCACUGAAAAUGUAUCGGGGCUGAACAGAAACACCGACGCGCUGGUUUUAUAUUUUAAAAGGUAGCGAAGCGUUUUGUACGCCAAAGAAGUAUUUUCAGAAGAAAAUACUGAGGUAUCAAAAGUGACUAUGCUGACAUGAGUAACGAAAAUCAUGUACAAUCAUGAUCACCGUAUGUUCAAGGGUUUCUGCGUCCUGGUUUACAGCGCAGAGUUAUGUCCGGUCCCUAAGAGACACACGCACUCGUGUGCUUAAUGGAUGUCAUUUAUGUAAGACGGUACGUACUUCUAAAAACUACAAUUGGAUAUGGUGUAUAGUAAGUAGGUAUCCAGGAAAAUUCAUAAAUAUAUUGACCGUACCCUAAACCGACACAGGUGAACGAGUCGAAUAGACUCAGGUGAUGAGAGAACCACAUUGAAGGAACUCGGCAAAAUAUUCCCGUACCUUAGGAAGAAGGGAAGCCAAAAAUGGUGACACAAAAAUGGGGGUGACGACUUUUUACUAAAAAAUUAGGACUCUGCUAAAUGGUAACAUGACGUAUAGGGUCUGACGUCUGCCCGGUGCUAGAAGUAUAAAAGGAGUGUUGAAAGAUACGAAUGGAAAGCCUAGUAAACGGCGGUUGUAACUAUAACAAUCAUAAAGUAGCGAAAUUCAUUGCCAGCUAAUUCCUGGCCUGCAUGAAAGACGUAACGAUUGCCCCACUGUCUCCAGUGUGGACUCAGUGAAAUUGAAUUCUCCGUGCAGAUGCGGAGUACGUGCCCCAAGACGAGAAGACCCUGUGCAUCUUUACUGUACAUUUACAUUGACAAAACCAUACGUAUGUGUAGGAUAGGUGGGAGUACAAACAUCCUUGAAAUACCACCCUUACUAUGUUUUUUGUCUAACAUCGGAGAUAGACAAUGUAUGUGAGGCAGUUUGACUGGGGCGGUCGCCUCCUAAAGAGUAACGGAGGCGUGCGAAGGUAAACUCAAUGUAGAUCGGAAACCUACUGAAGAGCGUAAUGGUAUAUGUUUGCCUGACUGCAAGAUUUACAGAUCGAGCAGAGACGAAAGUCGGUCAUAAUGAUCCACAAGUACUGCGUGGAAAGGCUUGUGCUUAACGAAUCAAAGAUACGCCAGGGAUAACAGGCUGAUAAUUCCCUAGAGUCCAUAUCGACGGAAUUGUUUGGCACCUCGAUGUUGACUGAUCAUAUCCUGGGGCUGAAGAAGGUCCCAAGGGUUCGGCUGUUCGCCGAGUAACAUGGUACCUGAGUUGAGUUUAGAACGUCGUGAGACAGUUUGGAUUCUACCUGGGGUGCGCGUAAGAAUUGAGAAAACCACAUCCUUGUACGAGAGGACCGGAUGUGUACAACCUCUGGUAUAGUAAUUGUCCGGCCACGGGCAUGGUUACUACGCUACGUUGUGAAAGGAUAAGUACUGAAAGCAUAUCAAGUACGAAACUUUUUUCAAGACAUAUUCUUUAUCGUAUUGUAUAUCGUACAAGUUGAGUACGUUAAUAGAUAAGCUGUGUAUUAUUUGUAAAAAUAGAAGCAUCCUUAUACUAAACUAUACAUUUUUUUUUCUGU